rnacentral:rRNA from 1 species
UUGAGUCGAGUUGUUUGGGAAUGCUGCUCAAAAUGGGAGGUAAACCCCUUCUAAAGCUAAAUACCGGCCAGAGACCGAUAGCGCACAAGUAGAGUGAUCGAAAGAUGAAAAGCACUUUGAAAAGAGAGUUAAACAGCACGUGAAAUUGUUGAAAGGGAAGCGCUUGCGACCAGACUUGCGCCCGUCGGAUCAACCGUCCCUCGUGGGCGGCGCACUCCGGCGGGCUCAGGCCAGCAUCAGUUUUCCUGGGGGGAGAAAGGCGGUGGGAAUGUAGCUCUUCGGAGUGUUAUAGCCUGCCGCAUAAUGCCCCCGGGGGGACUGAGGACCGCGCGAAAGCAAGGAUGCUGGCGUAAUGGUUGUCAGCGACCCGUCUUGAAACACGGACCCA